rnacentral:rRNA from 1 species
UGAACUCCGAAUGCUAAUAAAUAUACCACACAGUGAGGGCUUGGGUGCUAAGGUCCAAGUCCGAGAGGGAAAGAACCCAGAUCUACAGCUAAGGUCCCAAAGUAUAUGUUAAGUUGAACUAAGGCGGUCCAGUUGCCGAGACAGCAAGGAGGUUGGCUUGGAAGCAGCCAUUCCUUUAAAGAGUGCGUAAUAGCUCACUAGUCAAGCGACUCGGCGUCGAUAAUAAGCGGGCAUAAGCUGUUUGCCGAAGCUGUGGGAAUGAAAAUUCGGUAGGGGAGCAUUCCAGUUGCAUCGAAGGUG